rnacentral:rRNA from 1 species
GACGAACGCUGGCGGCGUGCCUAAUACAUGCAAGUCGAGCGGACAGACGGGAGCUUGCUCCCUGCUGUUAGCGGCGGACGGGUGAGUAACACGUGGGUAACCUGCCUGUAAGACUGGGAUAACUCCGGGAAACCGGGGCUAAUACCGGAUGGUUGUCUGAACCGCAUGGUUCAGACAUAAAAGGUGGCUUCGGCUACCACUUACAGAUGGACCCGCGGCGCAUUAGCUAGUUGGUGAGGUAACGGCUCACCAAGGCAACGAUGCGUAGCCGACCUGAGAGGGUGAUCGGCCACACUGGGACUGAGACACGGCCCAGACUCCUACGGGAGGCAGCAGUAGGGAAUCUUCCGCAAUGGACGAAAGUCUGACGGAGCAACGCCGCGUGAGUGAUGAAGGUUUUCGGAUCGUAAAGCUCUGUUGUUAGGGAAGAACAAGUGCCGUUCAAAUAGGGCGGCACCUUGACGGUACCUAACCAGAAAGCCACGGCUAACUACGUG